rnacentral:lncRNA from 1 species
AUUAAUGUACCUUCGUUUCCAAACAUCUCCGGUGAUUUUUUAUCGGAUAAUUCGACAUCGUCUUCUUCUUCUUAUUCGACUUCUUCUGAUAUGGAGAUCGGUGGGGGAACUACGACUACAAGGAAGAAAAGGAAGAGGAAAUGGAAGGAGUUUUUCGAGCGGUUGAUGAAACAAGUUGUUGAUAAACAAGAAGAGCUUCAACGCAAGUUCUUGGAAGCUGUUGAAAAGCGAGAACAUGAGAGAUUGGUUAGAGAAGAAUCUUGGAGAGUUCAAGAGAUUGCAAGAAUCAACCGCGAGCACGAGAUCUUAGCUCAAGAACGCUCUAUGUCUGCCGCUAAAGACGCCGCUGUUAUGGCCUUUCUUCAAAAACUGUCAGAAAAACAACCGAAUCAGCCAACCGCCGCACAACCACAACCGCAACAAGUUCGACCACAAAUGCAGCUGAAUAAUAACAACAAUCAGCAGCAAACGCCUCAACCGUCUCCACCGCCACCUCCUCCUCCGCUUCCGCAGGCAAUUCAAGCCGUUGUGCCAACUCUAGACACUACGAAAACGGACAACGGUGAUCAGAAUAUGACUCCAGCUUCAGCGAGUUCCUCCCGGUGGCCCAAAGUGGAGAUAGAAGCGUUAAUAAAGCUGAGGACGAAUCUUGAUUCAAAAUAUCAAGAAAACGGACCAAAGGGACCAUUGUGGGAAGAAAUAUCAGCGGGAAUGAGAAGGUUAGGAUUCAACAGGAACUCAAAGAGAUGCAAAGAGAAAUGGGAGAACAUAAACAAAUACUUCAAGAAAGUCAAAGAGAGCAACAAGAAACGUCCCGAAGAUUCCAAGACUUGUCCUUACUUUCACCAGCUCGAUGCUUUGUAUAGAGAGAGGAACAAAUUCCACACCAACAACGUC